rnacentral:lncRNA from 1 species
ACUACUGAUGUCUCGGGGUCAUAACCAGGUAAAGUUAAAUAACUCAUUUUAUUUCCUUGUGAAUUUAGUCCAUAUAAGGUGACCCGCUAUUAAAAUCAAUGCCUUAGAAGAUAUAUGAUAUGUAACUCACCUUGGUCAAGUUUUCAGAAACCCAUUCAGUUCAUUAUGUUCUUAAUCAGUUUAGAAUGGUUAUUUCAUCACAUUUGUCUCUCCAUGCCAUGAGUUGUCAAUUUAACAGUAAAUUUAAAAGGGCUACACUUAGUUUUGUUCUUAUUAAUCAUCAAUAUGCCAUAAAAUAGUUAAAAGACAUUUAUAAGUCAAGUGUAAGUUUUCUGCCGACUUAGAAAGAGGACUAGCCAAACAUGGCCACGCUAUAGCAAGGUGCUGCUUUUAAAUUA